AGAGUUUGAUCCUGGCUCAGAAUGAACGUUGGCGGCGUGGAUUAGGCAUGCAAGUCGUACGCACAGCAAUGUGAGUGGCGCAAGGGUGAGUAAUGCGAAGGUAACCAACCCUGGAGUUGGGCAUAGCCGCGGGAAACUGCGGGUAAUUCCCAGCGAUGUUACGAGGUGGCAUCAUCUUGUAACCAAAGGUGUGAUUCCGCUCUGGGACGGGCCUUCGUGGUAUUAGCUAGUUGGUAAGGUAACGGCUUACCAAGGCUACGAUGCCUACCGGGUGUGAGAGCAUGACCCGGCACACUGGAACUGAGACACUGUCCAGACACCUACGGGUGGCUGCAGUCGAGAAUCUUCGGCAAUGGGCGAAAGCCUGACCGAGCGACGCCGCGUGAGGGAUGAAGGCCUUCGGGUUGUAAACCUCUUUCGUAGAGGAGGAAGGGGCUGUGAAGAGCAGUCCUUGACCUAUUCUAGGAAGAAGCUUGGGCUAAGUUCGUGCCAGCAGCCGCGGUAAGACGAACCAAGCGAACGUUAUUCGGAAUUACUGGGCUUAAAGCGCGUGUAGGCGGA
rnacentral:rRNA from 1 species